UACAGAGGAGCCAAGCGUUGUCCGGAUUGACUGGGCGUAAAGCGCACGCAGGCGGUCGCGCGCGUGGGGUGUGAAAUCUGGCCGCUUAACGGCCAGGCGCCAUCCCAUACGGCACGACUGGAGUGAUGCAGAGGUCGGUGGAAUUGCCGGUGUAGUGGUGAAAUGCGUAGAUAUCUGGAGGAACACCGGUGGCGAAGGCGGCAUCCUGGACCAAUUCUGACGCUGAGUGAGCGAAAGCCAGGGGAGCAAACGGG
rnacentral:rRNA from 1 species